UACGUAGGGUGCGAGCGUUGUCCGGAAUCAUUGGGCGUAAAGAGCGUGUAGGCGGCUCGGUAAGUCCGCUCUGAAAGCCCGGGGCUCAACCCCCGGGAGGCGGGCGGAUACUGUCGGGCUAGAGUCCGGAAGAGGCGAGUGGAAUUCCUGGUGUAGCGGUGAAAUGCGCAGAUAUCAGGAGGAACACCAAUGGCGAAGGCAGCUCGCUGGGACGGUACUGACGCUGGAGACGCGAAAGCGUGGGGAGCAAACAGGG
rnacentral:rRNA from 1 species